rnacentral:misc_RNA from 1 species
CUGAAUCUCGACCAUCAUUUACAGAGAUAACAAAUAGGCUUCGAGCUAUGUCUUUCGCGCUUCAGACAAAGGGACAUAAUAAUAUUCAGGCAAGACAGGUGAAGGCAAAAUUCCUCUCAUGAAUCAGCAGCAUAUAUGUAACCUGUUUCUAUCUUCAAGCACCAGAAUUGGCUAGUAUCUUGUAUAGGAGCCCUUGGCAUAGAAGAUGAGGCCUUUGAGGGGGAGCAUGGAUGGAGUUUAUAUUAUCCUGUUAAUUGUGUUUUCUCAC